rnacentral:rRNA from 1 species
GCAGAUUGGCCGGGGUGGUUUUGACUCCAUCGCGAGUAUUGAUCAAGAGUGGAAACACCGCGCCCAGGAAAAUGAUGCCGACCUUCGACAGGAUACCGAUGCCGAGCCAUAUAAUAACCAGAGGUAGCAGGGCAACGCGCGGCGUGGCGUUCAUGGCGUUAACAAAGGGGUCGCAAACAUAGGCAAACUUCUUGUACCAGCCAAUUGCUAUACCAAAUGGGACAGCAACGAUAAUCGAAAGAAAAUAACCCCACGCGA